UUGGGCAGGCCCCUUCCUUCUCUGGGCUGGUCUGGCAUGGAGCUAGUCUCCACCCCAUGACGCCUGGCCACGGGAAGCGCUCUCCAGCUGGUACCCACGUCAUGUGUGAGGAUAUUCUUUACAGAGCAGAGGAGGGCCCGGAGGAGGAAGAGCAUGACCUUGAGGACCAGAUCGUUCAACAAGGAGAGAAGACACAGCUGGCUGGAUGGGAAGAUUCCUUUUCUUCUACGGUUACUGAGCUGAAGAGUCUGGAGAGUUGGAAACGCUGACCCGCUCCUCCCCCAGCAUUCAGAGAAACCCUCUGCAGAUGGAGAGAACGAAACCAAUAUGCAGAGAGACACAGGGCGAGAGCUGGAGGACCGAGUGACAGAGGUGUCGAUGGAUGGAUUGAUCCCUGGCUCCCGUCACUGCUGAGCCCAGCCUGGCCCCUGCCCUCUCCCAGAUGCAUGAGCCAAUAAAUCCCCCUGCUGACUUGCA